ensembl:lncRNA
GGGCUGACCUUCCUCCAUAUUUGCCCCAGGCCCCAGCUGGCCAUUGUUCUCAUCAAAGGGGUGGUGAGGGGCAUGCCCUCUUCUGGUUUCCCUGGUAACUGAUGAGCCCACCUGAGGUCAAUUGCCCUCUAACUGGCUCUAUCCCCUUCCCUUGGGGAAUGAAGACUGCCACGAUGCUGUCUGCUGCACACUCUGGGGUGUCCUCCAGGACCUUGCUUCAGCCAUGAACUUGGGAGUCAGUUGUGUCUCACUUGAGGUAAGCUGCUUAAGAUUGGAUGGGAUUACCGACCCUCUAACUAGGCACGCAAGGCAAGUUGUUGAUGAAGAAGACGAGAAGAGUGCAUAGGACCAAGAAUUCUCAAGAGCCAGAAGGGGAUAAGUCUUCUUCUGAAACUAAAAGGAGACAUGAAUCAUGGAUACAAAUAGAAGAUGUCUUUGGAAAGAGAAAGAAGGCAGUUCACAGCAGACUUCUCUUAUUCAGUCUUGGUCAGAUGUCUCAGUCAUCUUGCUCCUCCCCUUUCAGCUUCUCUCUGUUGUUGCUGGUGCUCUCUAAAGCUUCUGUCUUAGGCCCUAUUCCUUCUGAGCUGCCAACUUCUCCUUCAUGUUUGUACCAUAUGAGAAGACUCAAAACCCGGAAAAUAUUCUAAAAUUAGUUAUGCAGGCACUCAAAAACAUAUUGAGAACACUUUCUUGCUAGUUGUUCACGGAUUCCAGAUCAUCUCAGUUUGAUUCCAUGAGCUAUGGAAAACCCCCCAAACUGAAGUUUGUAUGUACAUAAUUUCCUCUCCGUGAAUAAACUGAUCCUUGAGCCAAAGCAUCCUGGCAGACCCAUAUCAAUUUGACAUCCUGUAGACGGAUUUAGAUC